CUACGGGGUGCUCCAGUGGGGAAUAUUGGACAAUGGGGGAAACCCUGAUCCAGCAAUGCCGCGUGUGUGAAGAAGGCCUGCGGGUUGUAAAGCACUUUCGGUUGGGAGGACUGCUUCUAGCACUAAUAUUGUUGGAAGUUGACGUUACCUUCAGAAGAAGCACCGGCUAACUCCGUGCCAGCAGCCGCGGUAAUACGGAGGGUGCAUCGUUAAUCGGAAUUACUGGGCGUAAAGCGCGCGUAGGCGGCUAGAUCAGUCGGGUGUGAAAGCCCCGGGCUUAACCGGGGAACUGCAUCCGAUACUGUCUUGCUUGAGUACAGGAGAGGAGAGUGGAAUUCCACAUGUAGCGGUGAAAUGCGUAGAUAUGUGGAGGAACACCAAUGGCGAAGGCAGAUCUCUGGCCUGAUACUGACGCUGAGGUGCGAAAGCGUGGGGAGCAAACAGGAUUAGAUACCCUAGUAGUC
rnacentral:rRNA from 1 species